rnacentral:rRNA from 1 species
GACGGAGGGUGCAAGCGUUGCUCGGAAUCAUUGGGCGUAAAGGGUGCGUAGGCGGCUUUUUAAGUCUGACGUGAAAGCCCAGGGCUUAGCCUUGAAAGUGCGCCAGAAACUGGAAGGCUAGAGUGCCGGAGGGGAGAGUGGAAUUCCUGGUGUAGCGGUGGAAUGCGCAGAUAUCAGGAGGAACACCGGUGGCGAAGGCGGGUCUCUGGGCAGUAACUGACGCUGAGGAGCGAAAGCGUGGGGAGCGAACAGG